GAUGAACGCUAGCGGCAGGCUUAAUACAUGCAAGUUGAGGGGCAGCAUGAUAUACGCGAGUAUAUUGAUGGCGACCGGCGGACGGGUGAGUAAUAGGUAGGAGACCUACCUCAUACAGGGGGAUAGCAUAGAGAAAUCUGUGGUAAUACCCCAUGAGGUUAUAUGAAUAGAGGCAUAUAAUCAAAGCAUAAGCGAUUAUGCGGUAUGAGAGGGGCCUACUGACCAUUAGCUAGUUGGUGAGGUAAGGGCUCACCAAGGCGAAGAUGGUUAGGGGUUUUGAGAGAGAGACCCCCCACAUUGGAACUGAGAGACGGUCCAGACUCCUACGGGAGGCAGCAGUAGGGAAUAUUGGGCAAUGGGCGAAAGCCUGACCCAGCCAUGCCGCGUGAAGGAAGACGGCCUUAUGGGUUGUAAACUUCUUUACUACGCGAAUAGAGGUUAGUACGAGAUACUAAUAGGAAGGUAGUGUAGUAAAAGCACCGGCUAACUCCGUAGCC
rnacentral:rRNA from 1 species